ensembl:lncRNA
UGGGCCGUGUGCUGUCCCUGGAACCAAGGGUAGGAUCAGCCUUGCUCAAGUCACACAGCCUGCGAGUACAUGGGCGGGGGGAGGUAUGUCCCCAACAGUCCUAGCCACUAGCAAACUUCAGUUCUCCAGGCCAGAUUGUGGCUCUGAGCUCCUUGGGCCCCAGAAUGGGGCUGGGUGCCCAGGAAGGCCAGGUCUCCUUUGGCUUGCUGUCUGCUCCAUGACCUGCCCAACCAGCACAGCCAGUGUGGAGGCCAGGUCCUGGCUGUCCUCCCCACCCACGGAGGCCCUGCCCUCAAUCCAGCACCCGGUGUUCCCAAAACCUGGGCCCCAAGAGAAGAGAGGUGCACAGGGCCGCUCGGGAGGAAGGCCCGUGCAGGCAGAGAGCUCACCGACCCCACAUCAUCCCUGGCGGGUCUGAUGGCAUUCACAGAGCUAAUGCAGGCCACCAUCACAGCAAGGAAUACAUCGAGAUCAACCCCCUGAGGAAGCUGCCCUGCCUCAAAGAUGGAAAAUUUAUCUUAUCUGAAAGGUAACAGUCUUUCCCGGGGCCCUCCCACCAUCCAUCCCUGGUCCUCCUGGGAGAUUCAGCUGGAGCCAACCUCCUAGCACUUAUUUAUUUUUCCUACUAUGGGAAAUUUCACACUCACACUAACGCAGAACCAAUAUCAACUGAUGAGGAGUAUAACCAUCGCCGGGCUAGCCACCACCGAGCUCCCACGGUGUCCACUCAGGGGCUCAAUUUGCCUCUUCUGUACCCCACUCUGUUCCUCUGCUUCCCAGCCGCCCCAUCGUUUCAUCCAUAAAUGUUUAGGAAUGUACUUCUAAGAGAUAAGGGCUCUCUAAAAAAAAAAAGGCACCAUCACGAUACCAUGACGACGACUAAUAAAAUUAACAAUAAUUCCUGGAUUUCAUCCAAUAUCCAGUUUGUAUUCAAAAGUCCCUGGGUAUCGCAUAAAUAUUUUCUUUGCACUUUGUGCAUUUGAAUCAGGGUCCAAAUAAGCUGCAAGUGUUGCAACUAGUCGAUCUGUCUCUUAGAUCUCUUUUAAUCUACAGCCCCCUCCACACCCCACCUUUUGCUUUUGAAUUUUUGUUGUGGUUGAAGAAACGGGGCCCUUUAUCCAGUGGAGUUUCCCACAGUCUGAAUUCUGUGGAUUGCAUUUUCAUGUAACUCGUGGCGUCAUGAGUUUCUGUCCCUUUAUUUCCUGUAAAUUGCUAGUUGGAUCUAGAGGUUUGGUAAGAUGCAAGGUUGAUGGUUUUUCAGACUGCUUCACACGCGGUCUCAUAAUUUUAGCGUAUGUCCCCCAAGUGGACCUUGGAGGUAUGGGUGGCCCAGGGCCGGGUACUGUCCAAGGGCUGCCAUAGCAAAGUGCCACCAACUGGGCAGCCUAGAACCACAGAAGUCAAGGUGUCAGUGGGGCCAAGCUCCCCCUGAAGGGGCCAGGAAGGAUCUGUUCUCGGUAUCUCUCCUAGAUCCUGGGAGCCUCAGGCAUUCCUCGGGUGGUGGAUGGCCAUCUUCUCCCUGCAUCUCUGCACAUUGCUUUCCCUCUGUGCCCGUUUCUGUGUCCAAAUUUCACCUUUCUUUAAGGACACCCGUCACAUUGGGUUGGAGUCUAUCCUAAUGACCUCAUUUUAACCUGAUCACCCCUGUAAAGAUCCUAUUUCCAAAUAAGGUCACAUUCUGAGUUACUGGGGGUUAGGACUUCAAGAUAUCUUUUUUGGGGGACACAAUUCAAUGCAUAACAGUCUGCCCUCUGGUCCCCCCAAAUUCACCUCCUUCUCAUGCACAAAAUAAGUCCACCUCAUCCCAACAUCUCCAAAAGUCUUGAUCACCCCAGCAUCAACACUAAGGUCACCGUGCCAGCAUCUAAAUUGUCCAAAUCAGGUUUGCGUGAAAUCCAAGGCAUGAUUCAUCCUGUGUCAAAAUUCCCCUUCAUCUGUGAACCUAUGAAACCAGACGACAAGUCAUCCUGCUGCCAAAGCACAACGGGGGACAGGCACAGGAUGGCCAUUCCCACUCCGAAACAGAAAAUUAGGAAGGAAAAAGGCGUUCACACACCUCAAGGGAGUCUGAAAUCUAGUAGGGCAAAUUCCAGUAGAUUUGAAGGCUUGAGAAUCAUCCUGUGUGACUCCACGCUCUGUCCUCCAGGCCUAUCAGGGUGCCAGGCCCACCCUUGGGAACUAGGGAAGCCAAGGCCCGGCCCCCACCCCCACUGUCCUCCCUGGGGCCUGUGGCAGCAGGACAGCCCUGCUGGCCUCUGAACCCCCCUCCAGGUCAUCCUUCCCUUUUCUGGAAGGCUAACACAUGUCUGCAGUUGACUCGCUCCGUCAGUCUGGUUCACAGAAGUCCCACAGCCUUCCUGCACUUUACCAUGUCUCUGUCCCCUUACAAGUCCACAAAUCACCUGCCCAAUCUCUUUAGCAAAUGGUUGUCCAGCUAUACCCUCAAUGUUCUCUCCGGAACAGGGUCCCAACCUCGAGCCCCAACCUCCUCCCCUCUGGCUUUGGCCUUCUUAUUACGCCAUGUUCUCACCCUGGUGGUCCCUGGCCUCCCAGCUCCCAGUCCUGGGCCCUAGAACGAGGGCCUGGUGAAUCCACUCCCAUUUCCUCAAUGACCCCCCCACCCCCAGCCUCCCAGGCACCUCUCCCAAGGUGUGUCAAUGAGAGCACUGAGUCAGGGGCUGAGGACAAUGGCUGCAAAUCGCAGAAACCCAAGCCAACUAAUUUGAGUUUCUUGGCAGGCUUAAUAAGCCAGGGGAAUCUGGGCCCCCAGCCCUGGCUACUGCCGUUUUCAUGCUCUUCCCCACCCAUCUCACCUGUCAGCUUCUCUGUGGGUGUGUCGGCCUCCAUCCCUCAGCCUUCUGUGUAUACUCACGGCCAAUGGCAGCCCUGUAGCCACAUCUUUGGAGCUCCUGGUCCUCGGGCAAGGAGUAACCGCUCCUUCUCAGGUGAUCCGAAGUUCCCAGCGAAGGACACAGAUGGGCCCAGGCUGAGUCACCCCCUUACCUGUGAACCACUCACUGGCUGGGGCACAGGGCCCUGUGACUGCCAGCACCCCACCAGAAUCGCUGGAUUAAAGAUGGUUGAGGAGGUCCCUGCCGGAAAAGUGAGGGAAAGGUGCUGGGCAGACAGAAGGCCAGAUGCCCUUUCUAGAUCAUCUCAGGGACUGUGAUGCCAGUAGGGUGCCUUUCCCCUGAGAUAGGUUUCCCCUAGUCACAGCAAGCUCUGGUCUGCUCUGGGGGCAGGAGGUGUUCGAGAAUAGGCUGGUGUGCACGGGCCCCCUUUGGCCCUGGCACUCCCAGUGUGGGAGCCAGGAGGGCUGAUGUCACAGAAUAAGCGUUGGAGGCCCCUACCUCAAAGUGCAGGACAAAGAGAGUGUGCAGUGGUGAGCUCGUGCAGACAAACCAAGAGGAACCAGUGCGGGAUGGGAGUGGCUGGCAGGUCUGCCCAGAGCAGUCAUGACCCAGGGACUGGCCACCAAAGGUGGUGCUCCCAGAGGUCACAGAAUGUGUUGGGGACUCUUCCUGCCUUUCAACCCUCCCUCAGUGGCUGGAGACCAUCUCAUCCCCUUGCUGCCAAUUCAAACUCUUACCUCCCUCCCCCGAGUUCUCGAGUCUCCUGCCCCACCUGGCCAAGGUCACCAGCUAUGCCAAGAGGUUGAGAACAGCAGGGCUUGGCCCAGGACCAGGCUGCUGGGGUCAAACUCCAAUCCUACUGCUAACGGGUUGUGUCUUUGCCACGUUAGUUGUAUCUCUGAGCCUCAGUUUCCUCAGAUGCAGAUAGGGAAUACACUGGGACCCAUCUUGCAGGCUUACUGUGGGGUCAGCCGAGCUGAUUCAGGAUUUAGGAUUUCCCUCCUUGAUCUCUCAGCCAUAUUUCCCCCUUUCCUGUAUAGCUGGGCCUCGGGGCCUCCCUCCCCGCUCCUCCCUCCUUCUUCUCUUCCUCUGCCUUCACCCAUCUCUGCUCCCUUCUCACCUGCUGACUGUGCCCCGAGAUCCGCCUGCUCCUCAGACUUCGAUGUCAUGUCAGACUCUGGCUCAGGACUCUCUGGGACCCAGAUGUCCCAGACACCUCAAACACCAGCGUCAACCCUGAGUUCCUCCUUUCCCUCCCCCCACCAGCUGGCAGCAAGUCCUGGGACAUCCUCUCCAAAGGCUGCCUCUAAUCUAUACCCUCCCCAGCCCCCGCAGCCUCUGCCCUCCCCAGACCCCAGCACCGCUUGCUUGGGCAUUGGGGCGGCCACCGUCUCUGUUGUUGCUUCUGCCCUCUCUGGCUCACUCUCCAUCCAGCACCAGAGCGACCCUUCUAAACUUCAAGGUGGAUCUCCUUGUCCCCCUGCUUACAUAACCCAUAACCUUGAGGAUUAAGUCCAUGGCCUCCUGCAUCUCUGGGGGCCUCCCCGUGUGGCCUGCACAGCAUCUCUGGCUGUCUCCCGCCACUCCUUGCCCGCCUACAUGCAUCUUCCAGUCACACUCACCACCUCCUUUCUCCAGAUUUACCACGCUCCUUCUCAGCCCUGUAUUUCUACACCUGUUGUUCCCGGUCUAGACUGCACUUCCUGAUGCCAUCUGCCAACUCCCACACACUGCAGGUCUCCCUUCCCACCCUUGCUGACUGGUGGGCUGACUGCCUUUCUCCAGGCCCUUUGGGCUCCUCCUCCUCACGAAGAAGGUCAGAGCCUGAAGCCUGCCUAUGGCCCAGGCCACGCUGGGGUGGUGGGUGUAGCAGCAUUGGGGAAGGCAGGAGCCGUGCUCUGACCUGCCCUUUCUGCAGCGCGGCCAUCCUCUUCUACCUGUGCCGCAAGUACAGUGCACCCUCGCACUGGUACCCGCCAGACCUGCACACUCGCGCCCGCGUGGAUGAGUUCAUGGCCUGGCAGCACACGGGCAUUCAGCUGCCUAUGAGCAAGAUGCUCUGGAUCAAGGUGAGUGGGGCCACAGCUGGGGCUGACCACUGGUGAGCUCAAGCCAGUGUCCCUCCUGCCCCCAGCCUUGUUUCCUCUGCUCCCUCUCCUGCCUGCCUUGCAGAGCUGUUGGGAAUGUGGAGUGAACCACUGGGUAUGAAAGAGCCUUGUAAAGGCAAGUGGAAGGGCACCCAGGAGGGCUGGUGUUACUCAAGUCAAGGGGCCCAUAGAGACUACCAAUCUGAAGAUGACAACUGGUACAUGUGCGCAUACUUCUUAGCGUAUGCCUGUGACAGACAUUGCUAAUCAAUUACAGGAUUCUUUCCUGCUGGGAUCUCAAAAUCCUUCUGAACAUUGGCCCCAGGCAACUUCUACCAACCAGAAGAGGUGAAACCACUUUAUAUCCUUGGUUCUGUCCAACACUCUCUAGCAGAAAAGGGUACUGAGGCCUGGAGGGUCAGAUGGCACUGGGGUGCAGCCUCCUCUUCCCUCCUCUCCCCCACCCUGGCCAGCUGCUGAUCCCCAUGAUCACAGGUGAGGAGGUUCCAGCUGAGAAGACAGAGCGGAUGCUGGCAGAGGUGAAGAACACCCUGCAGCUCUUUGAGGAGAAGUUUCUGCAGGACAAGAUGUUCAUCACGGGGGACCAUGUCUCACUGGCCGACUUGGUGGCCCUGGUGGAGAUGAUGCAGCCCAUGGGGGGCAACCAUAACGUCUUCCUCAACAGCUCCAAGCUGGCUGAGUGGCGCAUGAGGGUGGAGCUGGCCAUUGGUUCCGGUCUCUUCUGGGAGGCCCACGACCGGCUGGUGAAGUUGGAAGAGUGGGACUGUUCAACCCUGGACCCGCUGGUCAAGGAGAGGAUCUGCGAGCUGCUGCAGAAGUUCAAAUAGAAGCAGCCCCUCCUGCAGGGCCUGGCUGGCUCAGCCCUCGGAGCCUCCUUCUUGGGGGAGACGCUGAAAACACCUCGGUUUCUUUGUCUAAUAAAGAACAGCCACCACUGCUGCUGAGCCUGGGACAGUUGGUAUGAGCAUAGUGUCCGAUGUGGGAGUGGGUGGUGGUCAUGGGUCCUCCCAACUUCCAAAAAGACCUUAAAAAUUAAAGGUUAAAUGUGAUUAACUGUCAAUAACAAUAGUUGAUGACGUCAAUACUUCACUUUCAAUGAUGGACAGAAUAAUGAGACAGAAGAGCAUCAAGGAACUAGAGGACUUGAAACACUAUAAACCAACUGAAACUACCAGAUACAUACAGAGCCCGCCACCCGACAACAGCAGAAUAAACAUUCUUCUCAAGAGCACAUGCAAUAUUCUCCAGGAUAGACCAUAAGUUAGGCCAUAAAAUACACUCCAAUAAAUUUAAACAGACUGCAAUCAUACAAUGUAUGUUCUCUGAACACAAUGGAAUGAAAUCAGAAAUCAAUAACAGAAGGAAACUAGAAAACUCACAAAUAUCUAGAAAUUAAACAAUACACUCUUAAACAACAAUCAAUGAGUCAAAGAACAAAUCACAAGGGAAGUUAGAAUGCACCUUGAACAAACGAAAACAAAACCACAACACACCAAAACUUACGAGGUGCAGCAGAAGCAGAACCAAGAGGGAAAUUUAUAGCUGUAAAUGCAUACAUUAAAACAGAAGACAGAUCUCAAAUCACUACCUAACUUUACACCUUAAGAACUAGAAAAAGAAAAGCAAACCAAACCCAACAACAGCAAAAGAAAGGAAAUGAUAAAGAUUAGAGUGGGGAAAUAGAGAAUAGCCUAACAGUAGAGAAAAAUUAACGAAACCAAAAAUUGGAUUUUUGAGAAGAUCAACAAAAUGAACCAACCUUUAGCUAGAAUGAUGAAGAAAAAAAAUCAGACUUGAAUUACUCAGAUCAGGAGUGAAAGUGGGCCUGUCACUACUGAUCUUACAGAAGUGCAAAGGAUUAUAAAGAAAUACUAUGAACGACUGUAUGUGAAUAAAUUAGACGACCUAGGCGAAAUGGAAAAUUCCUAGAAACACACAUCUAGGUCUGGGGUUUAGGAUGGGGGCCUGAGAUUCUGCAUUUCUAACAAGCUCAUGGGCAAGGCUGCAUUUCUAACAAGCUCAUGCUGCUGCAAGGACCACAAUGGGAGUAGCAAGCAGCUAGGCCCUUCUUCAAAGGGAAAAAUGUUUUCUCUUGAGGAAAUUUGAGUGCACCCAUGUUCCCUGCUAAAGACGGUUUCAGUUUAAAUGUCAAGAAUGUGAGAUGCCACAGGAGAAGAUGUGGGCAUAGGAGAGGGGCUGGAGGGCAGCUCUUAGUCAGGUGGUCCCAUCGCUGCCCAGAGCAG